AGCGAACGCUGGCGGCAGGCCUAACACAUGCAAGUCGAACGAACCUUUCGGGGUUAGUGGCGGACGGGUGAGUAACACGUGGGAACGUGCCUUUAGGUUCGGAAUAACUCAGGGAAACUUGUGCUAAUACCGAAUGUGCCCUUCGGGGGAAAGAUUAAUCGCCUUUAGAGCGGCCCGCGUCUGAUUAGCUAGUUGGUUGAGGUAAUGGCUCACCAAGGCGACGCUCAGUAGCUGGUCUGAGAGGAUGAUCAUCCACAUUGGGACUGAGACACGGCCCAAACUGCUACGGGAGGCAGCAGUGGGGAAUCUUGCGCAAUGGGCGAAAGCCUGACGCAGCCAGGCCGCGUGAAUGAUGAAGGUCUUAGGAUUGUAAAAUUCUUUCACCGGGGACGAUAAUGACGGUACCCGGAGAAGAAGCCCCGGCUAACUUCGUG
rnacentral:rRNA from 1 species